rnacentral:rRNA from 1 species
AUUGAACGCUGGCGGCAGGCCUAACACAUGCAAGUCGAGCGGAUGAAGGGAGCUUGCUCCUGGAUUCAGCGGCGGACGGGUGAGUAAUGCCUAGGAAUCUGCCUGGUAGCGGGGGAUAACGUCCGGAAACGGGCGCUAAUACCGCAUACGUCCUGAGGGAGAAAGUGGGGGAUCUUCGGACCUCACGCUAUCAGAUGAGCCUAGGUCGGAUUAGCUAGUUGGUGGGGUAAAGGCCUACCAAGGCGACGAUCCGUAACUGGUCUGAGAGGAUGAUCAGUCACACUGGAACUGAGACACGGUCCAGACUCCUACGGGAGGCAGCAGUGGGGAAUAUUGGACAAUGGGCGAAAGCCUGAUCCAGCCAUGCCGCGUGUGUGAAGAAGGUCUUCGGAUUGUAAAGCACUUUUAGUUGGGAGGAAGGGCAGUAAGUUAAUACCUUGCUGUUUUGACGUUACCAACAGAAUAAGCACCGGCUAACUUCGUG